AAUAUAUCGAAUAAUGGCCGUUUCAGCUCCACAGUAUUGCAAGAAACUGUUGAGAUGCAAACUAUUAGUUGCUGUACUUAUAGCGCUUCGCUUUUCCACUAUGGAGUUCCUCCACCAGUUUGCCUCUAUCUACGCAACAUUAUCAGUUUUACUGAAAGGACAGUUAAGUAGCAACUGAGCUGGUUAUAACUGGUAAGCAUCCAUGAUCCGUCUGGGUUUCACUCUAUGUAUCCACUUUAGGUUGUUCGCUGCUGGCGUUGCUGCUCACUCGUCGCUUAGCUCACACUUUCCUAAGGGUGAGCUAAGCGACGAGUGAGUGAGCGCGAGUGAGCAAACAAGAAGAUGAGCUGGAGCUGAGUGAGCAGGACUCACAACUGCCAAUAUCUUAUCACUAAUAUUGAAUUAUUAUUAGCACGAGGUACAGGGAUCUAGAAAAUGUGUACCAAGGACUGAAAGCUGCUCCUCCAGGUGAUGCAGCGCCAGUAAAGUUGCACUGAGUACUCGGCUUCAUAGCUCAUCAAGGUGCAGUUGCGUAGUUCAUACAGUAGGCAAGUAGAUAUUGCAUUUCGGCAGCACAAUUGUGCUAACUUAAUAUUUCGUCUAGUCUUAUUAAAGCAGUCGUUAUAACUCUUCCUAUCGCUUGAUGCGCUGGUGGAGUUGCUGACUACAUUAAUUUUCAAUGUCAGCUAUAUUGCGUGAAGGUCAAUACCAAUAGACGAUUUCAGAAAUUGCAUGGAUGGCCAGCCAGAGAGCGCCGUGUUGCGAAUGCCCCACUGCACCUUGGGAUUUAGUUUUCAUGAGUCCGACAGCAGAGCGCAAACGGUUUCGGUUUUUCCUCCUCCCUUCGAGCAACAGGCAGGCGAGCACACUGAUCUCUAUGUAUAAAGGCUGGAUAGCGGAUGGGUGAGGGUAUCGCGGGAAAGGGUACGACCACCGGCCGCCAUAUUGCGGUGCUCAAAAGAGCGAUUACAGCCCAUAGGAAUGCAUGUAAGCUGUGACAAGUUUUGCUGUUUGUGAGCGCUUCCCUUGCUGCUUCGCUAAAAUUUUGCCACGGAUCGCUGCAGAAAUCCCUCGUGAUUGAGUUCCUUACGUUUUUUGUGUGAAAUCCCGUCACAUACAUGUUAUUUCCUUUCUAUUUUGUACUCGUGUGAGCGCGUGUCGUUCCAAUCUUGUACUUUGAACUACGAUUAUGUGAUUUGCUGGUUUUGUGUGGUGUUGUAUUUGUUGUGUUACGUUUCCUUUGUCGUCCGUCAGCGUGUUGCUUCCCGUGUUUCUCCCAUUUCCUUUCUGCUCGGGGGUGCUAGAGGUAGAGUGAAUAAGUCAUAAAAAGGCUAAGUAGCAAGGUCUUGUGGUGAAAGUUCCAACAUCAAAGUAUCACAAGUCCAGUUGCAACAGCAAGUUUGAAGCAGUCAAGCAGGUAAGUGGGCAGAGUGCAUUACUGGUUGUUGAAUAUGAUCAACCUUGACAAUUUCUUUCGCAGGUGAGGCCUGGCUGUCACCUUCUCUGUAUAUUCUUUGGCAAGGUGGUACAGUCCGAUACUGCUGUAGCACUGGGAAACUUCUUUGAUCAGACGGAUCACAUUGUUUUCAUUUGGGCUGCAUUCAAACAUGUGUUGUCGCAAGCUUAAGCAGCGAGAAUAAAGAGUAGACAUUCGAGGUUGAAAAAUUAUUUAUUGUCUCUAAGUAAAGUAAACAUGCUGGAAUGCACCAAAGAGACAUGUGGCUGGUGUGUUUGUAUUUUCACUCACGUCCACUUAUUUCCUUGCUUUCUUUACGGUUCUUCCACAGCAUUUUAUGUCAUAAAACAUGAUGUCCAGUCAAUGACAGUAUUCUGUUCAGGAAGUAAGAACUGCUGCUAUUGAAAUGAAGCUGAACCAUCGUGUGCAGACAGGGAAUAAGAUGUAACACGUUCGAAUUGUUGGACAUAAACGAAAACUCAACGCAGGCAACUCAGGGUCGAACUCAGCUGCACCUGUGUAGUGUUAUUUUGUGUCCGAAGUAACUUGGGAGCAACUCGUUCUUUUUUUUAAGUAACUCUGUAACGUUUCAAGCUACGUUUCGGGCUGAAUAACUUAGUUGCAUUUUUCACACGGUAACUUUGUAACGAGUUCCUUUUGACGGGCAACUUCUCGAUCUAUGCUUUCAACUCUGCAUGCUUUUUGUACACUACAUAAAGUAAGAUACUUUUGCCCCAGUGAGUUUGUUGCGUAUUUUAAAUGCAUGCAAGUGAAUUCCUAGAGGUACAUAUUUUGAGCAAGAUAAAUGAGUUUUUCAUGCAUGUGUGUUCAACUAGCUUUUAGUGGAUAUAAAUCUGGCCUCUACAUAUGUCGCAUGCAUUAUUACUUUCUGGAGGUGUUCUGGGAAGUCGAACUUGUUGGGCACAGCGUCAGGCCUCAGUCGAACGGUUUGGCCCGUUCUGUCGAAGCAUUUGUUUUUAAAAUGUUUGCUGCAGACCAGUGAUGUCGUCGACGGCGUCCAGUCCUUUCGCCUGACAUUUACCGCACACUUUGUUUAAAUGUUCUGGGCGGCCGUGAGGGAACCUGCAUUGAACAAUUUAUGCCAUCAAUUACGGAAAGGAUGACAAGGCUAAUCCAAGCAAGCAAUCGCCGAUACCGUGACCAACAAACUGAGCCGUAGAUAUCACAGCUGACAAGCGCACUUCAACGCCUGCUGAGUGCCGAGACCAUACCCGUGAACUGCAGGAAGGCUAGACUAUCACAAUGACUCUAUGCAGAUAACGUACGGCUUAAAGUUUAACGCUUAGAUCUUGAGAUACGAUUCACAAAGUGCCGCGCACAUGCAUCAACAGCAACGUUUUGUCACUCCGCUCGUGGACUAAUAAAUCACAUUUAUUUGUAAAACCAUGUCACUUACUCGUGAAAUGUCGUCCCCGGUGCCUUGCCAGUACGGUCAGCACACCCAUAACCACAGCAGGCGGGCAUGACACCACAAAAGUGCUACGCAAAGGCGCAUCCACAUAAUGCAGCUGAGUGGCGGACGGCAAUGUUUUGAGCUUCCCAAGAUGGCGGCCGGCGACCGUACGGUUGCACCCUCAAUCCGCUAUCCAGCCUAUUACUAUAGAGAUCAGUGGGCGAGCACGAAUGCAAACCAUUUCCCACGACGCAUUGCGCGAUGCGCGUGACUUGGACGGCGGAGGGCCCCCGUGCGGAGCACAAGAGCAUUAUCUGAAAUCGCCUAUUGAUAGACGAUUGCUGCCGGGUCUACUGAAUACUUCAAAAUAUAUUGUGACUUCUCGGUAUGUUGAUAGUGGUCCUAGAUGCAUAUGCAUACAAAAACCCCUAAAGAGACACCAAAAGAGGGUGUUCCUUUAAUAAGAUAGCUAGAGAUAAGAUAACAGGUUCCUGCUUGGUGGAUGGAAGUGUUGAUGCCUUUCUGCCCUUUAAAAUCCCGAUCUUGCUGCUUCGUUUUUUUUCCAGUGUAAUCUACCGAGGACACAGAGGCGGAGUAGAACUGGCUCGAACUCUGAGGCAACACUGUAGAGCGUGGAAUGAGGAAGGCGUCA